rnacentral:rRNA from 1 species
GACGAACGCUGGCGGCGUGCUUAACACAUGCAAGUCGAACGGAAAGGCCCUGCUUUUGUGGGGUGCUCGAGUGGCGAACGGGUGAGUAACACGUGAGUAACCUGCCCUUGACUUUGGGAUAACUUCAGGAAACUGGGGCUAAUACCGGAUAGGAGCUCCUGCUGCAUGGUGGGGGUUGGAAAGUUUCGGCGGUUGGGGAUGGACUCGCGGCCUAUCAGCUUGUUGGUGGGGUUGUGGCUUACCAAGGCUUUGACGGGUAGCCGGCCUGAGAGGGUGACCGGCCACAUUGGGACUGAGAUACGGCCCAGACUCCUACGGGAGGCAGCAGUGGGGAAUAUUGCACAAUGGGCGGAAGCCUGAUGCAGCAACGCCGCGUGCGGGAUGACGGCCUUCGGGGUGUAAACCGCUUUCGCCUGUGACGAAGCGUGAGUGACGGUAAUGGGUAAAGAAGCACCGGCUAACUACGUG